rnacentral:piRNA from 1 species
UAGCUCAACUAUAAUUCGAGA